CCCGGUCCGGCCUCCGGCAACGCCGUGCCCGCCGCGGCGAGCGGGCUGAGCCGGGUCCUCGCGCCGCGGUCCUCGCUGCCGCCGCCCUCCUCGUCCUGCAGCGGCGGCCGCCCGUCCAGCGAGAUGCUGUAUGGGUUCCUGCCCAGAGUUGCAGCUCUGGAUCUGGGAAGAAUCCUUGAGUGCAGUACCCCAGCCCCACCCCAACAAAAGUGUCAACCAAAUUCACAAUCAACAAUGACAGAUGGAAACACACAUGUGCAAUUGGCCCCAGAGAGAGCUUUAUAUGUAUUGCGCAUGCGCGAGUCAACUUAGCCUUUUAUAGAUAUAGAAUAAACUUGCUUAACUAGACCUGCUUUCUGAUGUAGCUAAACUUUUUCCAGCCCAGUGAAGCACCCCAACUUCUCUUUCAGGUAAUUGUCAGCAACACAGCAGUAAAUAUCAACACGAAGCAGAUUAUUAUUGUAGAUCACGCAGGGAGAACAAAGGAUCAAAUAUUUAACUGCAGCCGUGUUUGACUAUGUUCUGCGCAGUGAGAAAACCUGAAGUCAUUUUCAAGGUCCACCAUUUCUUACUUCUUUUCAGUCAGGUCAAGUUUCUAAGCUUUAUAAAUCUCUGUUUUCUGGCUAAUGAAAAGAAAAUAGGAUUCCACCGAGUCUCCUAUCUACCUACUCCAGGACUUCUGUGAGGAUUAAACAAGAUGAGGCACAGGAAAACGCUUCAUAGACAUUUGAUUAAAGUGAACAUGUUUUUACCUGGCUAUAAAGCUAGUCGUGUCCCUGGGCUGAAGAAACUGCAAGGAGGCUAGUCGUCACUAGGGAGAGGAAGCCAUGCGUUGCUACUUGAUGUCAUUACCCAGACUGACACUUAGCAUAUUAGCCUUUUAUAUGUAUAGGUUUCAGCAUCAACUAUAAUGGAAAUAAUAGAAGCAUUAGAGCAAGAGGAUUUGGGUGUCAAAAAAAAUCUCUUAACCUCUCCACACCAGUUUCCUCUGUGGGUUAUUCUGAGGUACAAAUGAGACUGAACGAGAGGCAUUUAAAAGCCUUAAAGUACUUUUUAAAAAAUGUGUUUUGUUAUUUAAACCAUCCUAAUCUGCUUACUGUAUGAAUUAUUCCAAAUUUAUUUAUUUUUCACCUAGUUACUGAUCAAUCUGGGCAACUUCCAUGGCAUAUCGCCACCUUGCCACAAAAGGGAUAAAAAGAAGAGUGACCUUUAGCCCUGGUGCCCUGGACAGUGAAAAUAGUGGAAAACAGAAGCUCAGGUCACAUUUAAAUAAAAAUGCAAGGCUGACUCGGAUUAAGUGAGCAAUCUAUAAAUGUUAUCAAAAUGUGAAAAAAGGGAGCUCUUUAUUGGAGGUAAAGAGACAGAGGCUGAACGUAAGAUGGUGACAUGCCCCGGUCCCGUGCUAUCCCUGGAUCAUUCCUUCUGUAACCCCUGAGGGUGGCGGUUGGGUCAGCAGGAUGGCUUACUCCUAGGGUCUGAGAGGCCCCUCAGAGAAGGUGAUGUUUGAAUUUGGACUCCAGUUCACAUGUGAGAUCGGGCAUCUCAGGCCAGGCAAUAGCAUUAGGACUCGAUUACAACAGUUCAGGCCUGAGGCAAUGAAACUUGGAAUUGGCAUUGAGAAUGGAAAAAGGGUCAAGUGCGAGAGAUUGAGGAGAAACUGGUUUUCAGAUUUCCAACCUGGGGCGGGGCGGGCAGCUGUAACUUCUGAAAGAACCAACAGGACCCCAGGGAGGGGAGAACAGAGGAGGGGUCAAAUGCUGGCUGGAUUUUGGCAUGAGUUUCCAUACCACCAGACAGUGGCCCAGUGCAAAGGCUAAGAUCUCAUCUUUCUAAACCACAGUGUCCCGCAUCCUUAUGACUAGAAGAGAAGAGGGCUCUGCGUCUGCCAUGGCACAACUCUCCACUGUGGUCACCUCACAGGGGUCACCUCACAGGGCGCACAGCUGCAGUGGCCGAGGACGGGCUCGGGAGCACCCUGGGCUGGCCACACUCACACAGUCCAUUUGCCCUUUGAGACACAAUUCAGAGGGAAAGAGCAUCCUGGCUCCCCGUCAUGACGUCGCAAGAGAAGGCUUCGGAAACAAACCAUCCCCGGGCCAGGCCCAUCCCAGCCUUUCGAGGACCUCUCUGAUGGCAAGUGACAGACAUCCAAGUCAAAGCAGCGCAAGGAGAAUAUACUCUGAGGAUACAGGAGGGUCUCAACCAACACAGCUUCAGGAGUACAGCCGACGCCCAGCAGCUCACAGAGAACUGUGGCCGUGAACCUUGGGGAUCCCCCUUUCUUGUCCACUAACCUUCUCCGGUGCUCAAGUCAUGCUCCAUCAUCUCCCUCUGCUGGGUAGGUUCCUCUGCUUCUCUGGUACAUGAGGCAAGAAAUGUGCCUCAGACAGAUUCCCACCUUUGUAACUUACAGAGACUGGCCCCUCUAGGUUUCUGUUUCAAAUUAACAUGGACCAUCAUUGGCAAAGCUUGUGCAGAGCAGGUCCUGGACCAGUCAGCCUGGAGGGAUCUCAUGCUAACACGUUCACCUCUGGAAGCAGAUGGGUGGGGUGUGUGGAGUGGGCAAUUCCCAGAAGAAAGGAAGUGCUGGGCAGAUAAGACAAUAAAGGGUUGACCCUAGUGGGGCACUUCUUACUGAGGCCUAUUUUCCUUACUUGGAAAAUGGAGAGCCAUACCUGGUGUGGCUCAAUUGGUUGAACGUCAUACCGUGCACCAAAAGCUCACUGGUUCAAUUUCUGGUCAGGGCCUGUGCCCAGGUUGCAGGCUCGAUCUCCAGUUAGGGCUCAGCGGGAGGCAGCCAAUUGAUGUUUCUCUCUUUCUCCCCUUCUACUGUCCUCUUUCUCUAAAAUGAAUAAAAACAUAUCCUAUAUAAUAAAAGCCUAAUAUGCUAAGUGUCUGACCAUUUGACCAGUUGCUAUGAUGCACACUGACCACCAGGGGGCAGAAGCUCCGACU